CUGCGCAGCUACACAUGCAGUCGAGCGGAACGAUGGAGCUUGCUCCAGGCGUCGAGCGGCGGACGGGUGAGUAAUGCAUAGGAAUCUGCCCGGUAGUGGGGGAUAACCUGGGGAAACCCAGGCUAAUACCGCAUACGUCCUACGGGAGAAAGCAGGGGAUCUUCGGACCUUGCGCUAUCGGAUGAGCCUAUGUCGGAUUAGCUUGUUGGUGAGGUAAUGGCUCACCAAGGCGACGAUCCGUAGCUGGUCUGAGAGGAUGAUCAGCCACAUCGGGACUGAGACACGGCCCGAACUCCUACGGGAGGCAGCAGUGGGGAAUAUUGGACAAUGGGCGAAAGCCUGAUCCAGCCAUGCCGCGUGUGUGAAGAAGGCUUUCGGGUUGUAAAGCACUUUCAGUGAGGAAGAAGGCCUUGGGGCUAAUACCUCCGAGGAAGGACAUCACUCACAGAAGAAGCACCGGCUAACUCCGUGCCAGCAGCCGCGGUAAUACGGAGGGUGCGAGCGUUAAUCGGAAUUACUGGGCGUAAAGCGCGCGUAGGCGGCGUGAUAAGCCGGUUGUGAAAGCCCCGGGCUCAACCUGGGAACGGCAUCCGGAACUGUCAGGCUA
rnacentral:rRNA from 1 species